CGCCGGCCCAAGGAGCGCGGGCCGCAACCUUCAGGGCCGCCUGGGCGGCCGACUCGAUAGCUCCUCGUCAGAGGGCGACGCGCGACAAGGCGGUGGGAACCCAACUGUACAGGAAGGGCUCCAGAAAGUACAAGACUGUAACUGACAAAGACAAGGGGGUGAGCAGGAAGUGGCUUCUCAAGGUAAUGGCUCACCUGGUAUUGUGAACAUCGUCCCCUGGAAAAAGUGGCUAAGAGCGAGGGCCUUCUGAUGAACUGGUGGUGCUUCUGAGGUAACUGCAUCUUGUGAUGACUGAAAGGGACACACUGCAGGCUGGCCUCUGCUGGGAGUGCUUUUAAGGACAGUCAGCACUCAGGAUAAAUCCUGGUUCCAGCAGCUCAGGCCCUUCCUGGUGGCCCAGCAUCCAGGAGAGUGAUUUUUCCAGGAAAGAAAAGUCUGGUGGGUAUCUGCUUUCCCUGCAGUGAGAAAGAAAAGUGCCAGGGCCCAGCAUUAAUCCAGGGCCGGGAGGAGGGCACCCAGGGCAGAGGGGUGUCGCCUGCUGGGCUGCGGCUCCUGACAGCAGACCCAACCUCUGGGAAUAGUAA